rnacentral:rRNA from 1 species
GAUGAACGCUAGCGGCAGGCCUAACACAUGCAAGUCGAGGGGUAUCCCGCUUUCGGGCGGGAGAGACCGGCGCACGGGUGCGUAACGCGUAUGCAACCUACCCUGUACUGGGGGAUAGCCCGGAGAAAUUCGGAUUAACACCCCAUAGUACUAAUGAAUGGCAUCAUUUAUUAGUUAAAGGUUACGGUACAGGAUGGGCAUGCGUCCUAUUAGCUAGAUGGUAAGGUAACGGCUUACCAUGGCUACGAUAGGUAGGGGGCCUGAGAGGGUGGUCCCCCACACUGGUACUGAGACACGGACCAGACUCCUACGGGAGGCAGCAGUGAGGAAUAUUGGUCAAUGGGCGCAAGCCUGAACCAGCCAUGCCGCGUGCAGGAAGACGGUCCUAUGGAUUGUAAACUGCUUUUAUUUGGGAAUAAACCUCUUUACGUGUAGAGAGCUGAAGGUACCAAAUGAAUAAGCACCGGCUAACUCCGUGCCAGCCGCCGCAGUAA